rnacentral:rRNA from 1 species
UGGCGGCGUGCCUCAGACAUGCAAGUCGAACGCGAAAGUUCCCUUCGGGGGGCGAGUAGAGUGGCGCACGGGUGAGUAACACGUAGGUAAUCUACCUUUGGGUGGGGAAUAACAGCCGGAAACGGCUGCUAAUACCGCAUAAUGCAGCGGCUCGACAUCGAGACAGUUGUUAAAGCGGGGGAUCGCAAGACCUCGCGCCUAAAGAGGAGCCUGCGGCGGAUUAGCUUGUUGGUGAGGUAAUGGCUCACCAAGGCAUCGAUCCGUAGCCGGCCUGAGAGGGCGGUCGGCCACACUGACACUGACAUACGGGUCAGACUCCUACGGGAGGCAGCAGUCGGGAAUUUUGGGCAAUGGGCGCAAGCCUGACCCAGCAACGCCGCGUGAAGGAUGAAAUCCCUCGGGAUGUAAACUUCGCAAGAACAGGAAGAAUAAGUGGGGGACAAUACCCCCCAUGAUGACGGUACUGUUUGUAAGCUCCGGCUAACUCCGUGCCAGCAGCCGCGGUAAUACGGGGGGAGCAAGCGUUGUUCGGAUUUACUGGGCGUAAAGGGCGCGUAGGCGGUCGUGACAAGUCACUUGUGAAAUCUCCGGGCUUAACUCGGAAAGGUCAAGUGAUACUGUCGGACUAGAGUGCAGAAGGGGCAACUGGAAUUCUCGGUGUAGCGGUGAAAUGCGUAGAUAUCGAGAGGAACACCUGCGGCGAAGGCGGGUUGC